CCACUUCUCAUCGUAGUCCGCACCCGGAAGAGACGGAGCGGCACUUGGAAACGGCUAAAAUUAAUCGUUACACGUGAAGGUCACUUCGGGGAAAUUCCUAGGACGAUGAUACCACUCGGCGUAAUCUAUACUCGUAUUUUUUGAGCGUUGAGCCAGGUUCCCGUACAACCAUCAAAAAGGACCAAUCAGCCAUUUAGGUCAAUCCAGAGUGAUCUAUUUUACUGCAAACCACCAAGAUUGACGUGUCCCUCCGCAUUAAAGGGCUUAAUUGAAGGGCCGAGGGAGUAAGUUCGCUGCGAGUGGCACUAACGAUUAAAUAAAAUCGAUGUUUCAAACGCACUUCGAGCUUUUUGUGCCGACACCGAUAU